rnacentral:rRNA from 1 species
UUUCCAGCAGCCGCGGUAAUACAGAGACUGCAAGCGUUAUUCGGAUUCACUGGGCGUAAAGGGUGCGCAGGCGGCCAAGUGUGUGAGGCGUGAAAGCCUGGGGCUUAACCCCAGAAUUGCACCUCAAACUACUUGGCUAGAGCAUUGGAGAGGGUAGCAGAAUUCAUGGUGUAGCAGUGAAAUGCGUAGAUAUCAUGAGGAAUACCAGAGGCGAAGGCGGCUACCUGGACAAUUGCUGACGCUCAGGCACGAAAGCGUGGGGAGCAAAAGGGAUUAGAUACCCUUGUAGUCC